rnacentral:lncRNA from 1 species
GGUAAACUUCUUCCGGAGCAGAGUACUCCGGAAUUUUCGAAAAGUCGGGCUGAAUACUACUGUUUUGCGGCAGAACACUAAAGUUUUUACUCAAAUCGUCCAAAUAGUUGUACUCCACUUGAAUACCAUCCCAGUUUCUGUACAUUCCAGUGUCCCGAUUGAACGAGAGCUGAGAUCCGCCGACGUUGAUCCGGUAGACCAUCUCCAUGGCGGUGUUAUUUUUGAUCGGAUACGAGUUUAUGCUGCCUACGGAAACAGGCCCAUCUGCGCUUUGUGGUGGAGUGUAAUAAAGAUUGUCGGGCAUGGACACGAUUUCGAUUCCAUUGAUGAAGGCGUAGGCAUCUGGACUUGCUCUGCUCGGAGUGAACGUGAUGUUCAAGCUCUGUUCGGAUGCAAUGUUGAGACAGAACUCCCUGGAUACUGUCUCCGACGGGAAAGCGUCGGCGGUGACAGAGGCGUUGAAAUCGCGGAGAAGGGUAAAGCCGCCGGCUUCGACUGAGAAGAGGGAUUUAGAUCGGUCGAACUCGGCGGCGUAGGAAGUGGGGUAGAAGUACAAGCGGAUGAACUUUUGGCCGCUGGUGAGCGGAAAUGUGUACGUAAAUUCGGAGCGAGAGAGCCGAGCUGUGGUGUAAGGCACUUGGCUGGAGGAGUAGAUCGGGGUUGCUGCUUUGUAUACGGAUGAGCUGCCAGCUGCUUGGAAGGGGGAGAAUUUUGAGUUGAUAUCGCCACUCCAAGUUCGUCCGUCCUGUUGGUUGACUUGGUCGCCGGAAAAGCCGCACUGUAGGGUGAUGUCAUCGACCGGUUUGUAGGCAGAAGGUGAGUUUCCGGCGACGUGUAGGGUUAUGAUUUGCAGAAACAGGGUAAGGAACAGAUGAGCAAGAUUGGGAUUCAUGGUUAGGUGUUUGCUACAUAUGGAAACGGGGGAAUCUGUUGCUGAUUAUUAUCGUAAGCUUAUCAAAAUUCCAUUUAUAAUUAAACUUCUAACUGGAUUUUGGAUACUUUAAUGGUGAAGUGUUCAGUUGUAAUUUGAAAACUGGGUGCUUGAAAAUUCAGAGGUUUUUUUUUUUUUUUUUCCACCAAAUUUCUGAUGAAUAUUAAAGCAGUUUGUCUUGUCCUCUACUCUUAGUUGUUAUAUUAUUGUUGAAUGCACAAUUAUUGAAAAUCUAGGGUCAAAACAAAAGUAGUGGGGCAUGAGAGAAAAUUUAAUGGAGGAAUGACUUCUCCGGCACUUUAGAAAGGAUUAAGCUUUAGAAAAACUAAUAAAAAGUGUUUGAAAAUUUUGAGUUUUAACAAUAAGGAUAAAAUAAAAGGUAAAAUGAAUAGUACCAGGAUUGAUUUUUUAGUGUAAAAAUAGAAUUUUUCGUUAAAGUAAACAGUACCGUAAGUUUUUCGUUAAAGUUCUCUGAAUUUGUUAAUGGUUCUUUAUGCCACAAUUACCCUGAAUUUGUUUCAUUUAAAUCUCUCUCUCAUGGAUCAAAGACUUUGAAUGUGGUCUAAAUUCUUAAAGAUUCUCAAUCAUCAACAGUAACGUUAAUAGACUACACACAAAGGGUAGUGGUGGUGGACUUGAAGAGUCAAAGUCUUUGUCACAAGUCUUUAUGCAUGGUGGGUCGUUUGCUUGUAUACUUUUCCAAACAAAUAGAUUAACUUGUUAUAUAUUCUUACGGUUAAUGCUUGGUAGAAAAGUCUCACCACUAGCAAGUUGCAAACAACCCGUGAAAUGGUAUCCAGCUAUGAGUUAGUAAACGUCAUUUUAACAAGCAUGUCUCUUUUCAAAUGUGACUUUUGUGGUAAGGUGAUGAUAUUAUCCCCACAGAUUUUUGUUAGCAUUGAUGCAUUUGGGGAUUACAUGUAUCAUUGAUUUUAAGUGCACAUAAACGACUAACAUAUAAGAGGUUUAUGUUGACUUGUCGCUGGAAAAGCCACACUAAAGGGUGAUGUCAUCGACCGGAGUGUACACGGAGGCUGAGUCUGCGGCCACAUGUAGGGUUAUGAUUAAACCUCUACUAUGAGUUGUUAUGUUAGGAAAAUGAUCAUCGCCGGAUCUUUUUUCUAUGGAUCAUGGGGAUUCCGUUAUCGUGAUCGUUCAUUGUAUAUCGUGUAAUUAGAAAUCAUUUCAAAAUUAAAAAUUAAAAAUUAAAUAUAAAUAGUACCUAACGAAAAUUGAUCGCAUGAUGUACGAUGAACGAUCACAAUCACAUGAUUCCCACCGGAUCCUUUUCCGUUAUGUUAUUGUUUGCAUGCACAAAUAUUGAAAAUCUAGGGCAAAACAAAAGUAGUGGGACAUGAUUUCAUGGAGGAGUUCAUCGUUGAUUCAUCAGGAUGGAGAUAAUUUUUAGUGUGUUUGGGAAUAUAUGACUGGUAUAUCUAGUGUUAUAACAUAAUUGGUUAAAUUUUUUUUUUCAAGAGUCUAAUUAAUUGUAUUAUGACACUUGGUAUACUGGGUUAUGUUCUUGAUACUAAAAAAUAUAUUGGCACAAUGACUUCUCAAACCACUAACUAAUAUAUGAUCAUGAGUGGAAUUUUUUCUGAUAUCACCUUGUAUUAGUGGUUCAAUACACCACAAUUAUAUUGAAUUCGUUUCAUUUAAGUCUUUUUCGAACUAGAUGAAUCAAAGGCUUUAAAAGGAAGGUCAUCAUCCAGAAAGAUGACCAAACAAUACCCGCCAGAGAUUUAAAUGUCAAAUAAUUGGUUGCAUGUCUCUAUCAUCGAGAGUAAAGUUAAUCCAUAUUAUCUAUCUAUAUUAUUAAGAGAAGAGGGCUUGUCAACUUUUUUCCCCCAUUUCUUCCAAUUUUGCUCUCAUUUUUUAACACACAAUAUUGACAUGAGGAGGGCAAAAUAGUAAUUUUGUAUCUUUUGAACUCUUUCCCCUUUUCUUCCAAUUUUGCCCUCAUUUUUUAAUACACAAUGUUGAUAUGAUGAGGGCAAAAUAGUAAUUUUGUAUCUUUUGAACUUUUUCCCCUUUUUUCCUAUUUUGCCCUCACUUUUGAUACACAAUAUCUACAUAAGGAGGGCAAAAUAGUAUUUUUAUAUUGAAAUAUUUACAUAAGAUAAAAAAUAUGCAUUUAUUAAGAGAAAUUAUCCCUCCAUCAUUUUUUCAUACAUGUAAGUGAAAUCAUAAUGUUUUUUUGAUAGUUUGAAUGAACUGAAGCGGUUGCGCUUGAGGAGAACGUGGGAGGUGGUGGACGGUUUUUCCCCUUUUUUCCUAUUUUGCCCUCACUUUUCAUACACACUAUUGACAAAUAGGAGGGCAAAUAGGAAAACAAAAGGGGGAAAAAAGUUGACAAUAAGGCUUCUCUUAAUAAUAGUAUAGGAAACAAAUAUGCAUUUAGUAAGAGAAAUUGUUCACACACACACUUGUGCUCUCUGCUAGUAGACUUAAUACAAAGGGUAGUCGACGAAAUAUCCAAAAUCUUUGCCACAAGUCUUUAUGCAUAGUGAUUUGCUUGUAUACUUUUCCAAACAACAAGUAGAGAUUGUGUUGUUAACUUGUUAUAUAGUCUUAAGGAAAAUGCUAGGUAGAAACGUCUCACCACUAACAAGUAACAACCAACCCGUCAAAUGGUAUCGAGGUAUGACUUGGUAUACGUCAUUUUAACAAGCAUGUGUCUUUACAAUGUGAUUUUUGAGGUAAGAUGAUGAUAAUACACACACAGAUUUUCGUUAGCAUUGAUGCAUUUUGUGAUUUACAUGUACUAUUGAUUUUAAGUGCAUAUAGACGACUGAUUCUAAGUGUACAUAGAUGACUGACAUACCCUAUUCUUAUAAGGUACUUGAACAAAUUAAUACCUAAUAUACUCGACCAUCCUUAUAUAAUAUAGUUUGGCUACAAUAAUAUUAGGGGAUAUCCUCAAUCUGUUGAGGUUUUGCGAUUUAGAUGUGUUAUUGAUUUUAAGUGCCUACAGACAACUGAUUCUAAAGUGCACAUAGACAACUGACAUACCCUCUUCUUAUAAGGUACUUGAACAAAUUAAUACUUAAUAUACUCGACCAUCCUUAUAUAAUAUAGUUUGGCUACAAUAAUAUUAGGGGAUAUCCUCAAUCAGUUGAGGUUUUGAGCUUCUGCCUAGCUAAGUUUAUGUUAACAUGGUGUAUAGUGUAUAUAACCAAAAAAGCACAUUGUCUUCAUAGAAUUUAUGUUCAUCUAUUUUGAAAUGGAAGUAAAAUAAAGCCAACAAGUUACAAGAAAACCCUUAUUUGACUAAAAUUUAUGAUUAAACUUCUACUAGUCAAGAUCUAUAAAAAUUAGUGAUAAUUAUGUGAUUAAUGAAUGGGAGACACAAUAUAUUGGGUGAUGCUAUCCAUACGCAUUCCAUUUUACUUUUCCUUAGCCGUUAGGUUGAACGAAUUGAAAGAAUCAAAAGACCAAAAUUAACAGAGGUAUAGGCACCACCCUAUAUAUUAUACAACAAUAUGAACCAUUAUUUUUUAAUGUGAAACAUUUUAAACCAUGAAUCUACUCUCAAAACACAUUAGUAUAAAUAAUUAAACGACAGAAGUGGAAAAUAUUUUUUGUAAUCUGUUGGGAGCUUGAGGUUUCCAAAUUCAAAUUCAAGAGGUUGGGUUAGGCUCGCCGGAUGACUUCAAGAUUAGCUUUCAACGUCGUGAUCAUGGAGACGGUAUCUCAUUCGAUGGGGCAAGUGGACUUUUGGACCAUGCUUUUGCUCCCACGGAUGGAAGGCUGCACUUGGAUGCAGAUGAACGAACUCGAUCUGGUUUGAGGCCUCCAAGUAAGAACAAACUUGAUCCGGUUUGGGUGGCUACGCACGAAAGGACUGGGUUCACCUCCGGAUCCCAGCCUGCAAAGCCAGCUGACCUCAAGAUCUCAUCCUUCCAUUUUUGAUCUUGUGGCCAGGAAUAAUGAAAAAUUUUCACGCAAAACAAGGCAAGAUGAAAAUGGAAGGAUGCGAUCUUGUGGUCAAUUGGCUCCGCAGGAUGGGAUCCGUAGGUGAUCCCAGUCCGUCGUGAUAGAAAUGGCCCUUCAUGACUUUAGUUGUGAAAAUAAACAUCAAUAAAAUAAAAUUGUUUAAGUGUCUGAUAAAUUUGUUUUAUAAAAGUACUUUUAACUAAAAAAACAAUGUUUGAUAAACUUUUGUAUAAAAUUGCUAUGAGCAUAUUAAAUGACUAAAACUGAUCACCAUGCUUUGAAAAAAAAAAGAAAAAAAAAAGGUCUUUUUCAGAUGGUAGACUCUGCUUCCACGUUUCUAUGCUUUUCAUAUUUGAUGUUCUAAAUUUUUUAAUAAGCUUUUUUUUUUUUUUUUUAAAGCAUCACAACUCCAAACCAACCUGUAAUCACUUCAGGCAUUGGGAAUCGAAGGAUGUGCACCAUCAGUUCGGAAAUUUUCCUUGAGCAUCUCCGCAGGUAUGUUGUCUCCGAUUUCUUUGAAUAAAAAUUCAGGCAACGGGGAGUUGAAGCACACCUUCGAAGCUGUCAAACUCGUUAGGAGUUUUAUCGAACAAGGCUUCGAGCUCCGGUCUAAUGAAUUGGGCUAUAAUUUCAGUGCAUGUGCCAGGACGUCUGACAUCUUCCGGUGUCCAAAUCGUAGCUUACGACAUUGCUGCAUAGAUAACCCUCCUCAUAUUGGUUGUUGAAUUAGAGUUUUAUCUCAACCAAUUAAUGUAUUAAUGAAGCAUUGUAAUCGUAGGUAAUUUCCAUUUACUAACCUAGGUAUAAAGCAAAGAGAAAUACUUAGUUACUGAUAAAUCUUUUUUUUUUUUUUUUUGACAAAUGGGAGAAUAAUCUGCACUGAAUUUUUCUAACUAUGGGGAUGGGAGAAAAUUUAAACUAGAAAAAUAGUGGGUUGAAGAGAAACGCUCUAUCUACCAAGCAAUCUGUCACUUGCUUGACCAAUCAAUUAGUUAUCUUGUUAUUGAUCACAAUCUGUUUUUUUCAAUAAUAUUACAAAAAAUGCCAUGGGAAUCGUAGGUCAUGUUUCUAAGUUGUGUCAUUUCUCAUUUCCUAAAUUAUAACAUAUUGUUGAUCAACAUAAGUGUUUUGUAAUUAAUAUUGUAAUCAAUAACUUGAACUUCGCUUUAUAUUGUAUGGAAUCCGCAGAUCGUAAAACCAUGUAUGGGGGCUAAUGCAUAUCCUGUGUUGGAAGGUCAAGGAAGCUAAUGGCCUAAUGCCAUGGGAGCCGGCAAUUAAAACUUCAGUGAGAAGCGAUCAUAACUAUAACGGUCCUAAGUCAGAAAAUUUCUUGUCGAAUAAGUUUCAAGUUCCAACAAAAUACGAAAGACAUAACGAUCUGGACAAUCUCAAGUAGUUCCAACCCAAAACCCAAUUGUCAAAUGAACCUCACACCUUCGUCAAGCUCUGUAGGCUAGUUGGUAUCCACAUUCCCAAAGGGCCAAAUGGACCAUAUCAAAUCAACCCAAUCAAAAGCCCAAUCAGAUUGCAAACAACCCACAUCCAAAUCAAACACGGGUCAGAAAUGACCCAAAUUUCAAAUCGGGUUAGUCUUCUCUGUCUGUCUUCCCCUAAAACCCUAAACUUUCUUUUACUCUGUUGUCACAGAAAACGCAAAAGUUUUCAAUCUUUGAAAAUCGUGAGGAACCAUGAUGAACGGCGGUCGGCACCAAAACAAAUUCGCAUGGAAGCCAAACCUCGGCGUCAAAAUCAACGAAACCGAGGUCGGAGGUCGGUUCCGGCCGCUGUCGGAGAUAACGGGGGUCUGCCAGCGCUGCAAGGAACAGAUCGAGUGGAAGCGCCGUUACGGAAAGUACAAGACCCUGACGGAGCCCGCCAAGUGCCAACGUUGUACCAAACGCGCCGUCCGUCAGUCCCACCAUAAGCUCUGUGCUGCUUGUGCCAAGGAACAACGUGUUUGUGCGAAGUGUUGCUGUCGUGUCGAGCAAAUUGUCGGAAAAGACCUUGCGGAAGUGGAGUCUGAGCAGAAGCAGCUUCAAGAGGUUUGAUUUUUUUUAAUGUUGUUUUUGUUAAGUUUCCAGUUUUUAACUGGUUUUCGAUUCGAAAAUUGACGAAAAUUGAUGGUUUUCGAUUCAAAAAUGCAAGAGAAAGAGAUAGGAGGAGUCUAUUGCGUGUGGCAUGUUCUCGAAUUUGAACACAUUUGUUUGUUCUUGUAUUGGAUUGUGAAUCAAAAGUUGCAUAAUUUGUGAUCUCGGAUAGUACUGUAACCGACGAAUGCUGGAAAAAAAAAAUAUCCGGGUGUAGCGAAAGCUGCAAGCGAGAAAGGAGACAAAGCGGGGGACCUGUUCCCGUCUGCGUCACUCGAAGAAUAUGCAGAGGCAAGCAGAGAUGAUGACGAUGAUGAUGACGAUGACGACGGUGACGAUGGCGAUGAUGGUGAAGGCGAAGAAGAUGAGGCACAUGUUUGCAAUUAAAAGAGGUUCUAAGUAGUAUUUCAGUUGCCUAUGAUCGUGUACUGUGCCCAUCCUUUGCUCGCAAGUUCGAAAUCGCUUGCAUCUCUCUGUACUGUCAGUGACAAAUUGGGCAAAGAUAUCCUCGUUUCUUCAACACCAUGAAGAAGGUCUUGAAGAAGUUAACUGAUCAUCGUCUUUUUGUCUUGAAGAAGUAAACGGAUCAACGGGUUUUUUUUUUUUUUUGAGAAAAUUUGAAAUAGGUACAAGUUUAUAGCCCUACUUUUGAAAUAAGUCCAAAUUUAAUAACUUUUGACUUUUGAAAUAGGUUCAAUUUUUAGUUACUUGACAUUUUUUUUUCUUUUCAUGUUUGUUUGUUUUAGUGGUCGGACCCAUAAUUUUGUGCAAGUGCUUAUGCACAGAAACCUUGAACUUUUGUUCGUUUUUAAUUAUCAAUGUAGGUCUUGUUUAAUAUUACCACAGAUCAAGUUGCAUUGCUUUUGGGGUUCUUGGGUUAGAAGCAAACUGCUAAUAAAGUAUGCUGGGCACCUGGGGAAGAUCGAAAACUCAAUAGAAAAAUAAGAGAGAUCCAACUUCACUCUUCAAGUCAACAGCUUCGAGAUUGAUUGAAUCUUCAAAUGGUUGUUAUUUCUACGAGUUGGAAGGAAGAAGAAAGCCGAUCUUACGAAAUGCAAAAGGAGAGCAGUUUUAAGCUAGUCAGAUGCCGUCUUGUGACGAUGCUGUGUACCAUUCUCCUUGUCAGCCCCGUUACAGUUUUCAUUUUCGGCUUCCAUAUCUCAUAUCCGCAAUCCUUUUUGUCCUUCAACACCAGUAUCUCCCAUGACCAAAUUGUUUUGCCUCACUCCCUGCCCGCGGAUGUCUCUCAUUUGCAGAUCCAGCUGGGACUUUUGUCGCAGCAGCUGCAUAAUGAAAGUUCCGAAUCAAAAGUACUUGCGAAAUUUUCGGAUCAGGUGCUUCGCAUCGCCAUUUCUUUGGACAAACUUGCUGAUUGCAUUAAAAAGAAGCAUCAUCCGGACAAAGAUGAAGUAAGCACCGUGGAUGAAGAUUUCACAAAUCCAGAGGAAGGUGAAGCUGAAGCUGAAGAACAGGUUCCAGGUGGCACAAUCUUCACUUCAGGUGAGAUUCGUAUUUACAUUUCACCAAAACAAAACAGGCAGAUUGGGAAGAAAAAUUUUCUUGUGGUAGAAGCAAUAACUCCAUCAGUUGGGUUGGCUUGUGCCCGAACGGCGCCGGUUUAUGAGUUACAAACGGCAUGUGCCCAGAUGAUUCGGAAAUAGCUCAGAAGCUUUUAUUUCAUGGAAGUGAUCCAUUGCCAAGAAGAAGAUGCUUCACAAAAUCACCGCCAUACUACACCAAGCCACUUCCUAUAAACUUCUCCCUUUGGACUCAACCUAGCAAUGCUAACAUCUUAUGGAACAAUUACAAGUGCAAAGACUACUCUUGCCUUGUUUCGAAAGAAACCAAGGACAGAAGAGGCUUCUUCAAAUGCUCAGACUGUUUUAACUUUUCAAAACAAACGUGGGACACUCCAACAAACGAGUCCGAAUCGGCAUAGUUCACCAUUGAUGAAGUUCUAAGCUUAAAGCCAGGGGAGAUAAGAAUCGGCCUAGACUUCAGGUCGACCACGGGAAUAUUUGCUGGUAUCAUGAGGGAAAAGAACGUUACCAUUGCAUCAAGUACCUUAAACUUAGGGUCUCCUUUCAAUGAGAUCAUUGUCUUAAGAGGUCUUCUUCCUCUUUACACAUCAAUCGGUUCGAGCCUACCUUUCUUCGACAACACCCUUGACAUUAUCCAUUCGACUUUGUUCUUGGAUGGCUGGAUUGGAGCUGAACUCCUUCAGUUUGUAUUGUUUGAUUGGGACUGCGUCCUCCGGCCGAAGGGUCUUCUUGGGAUAGACAGGUUCUUCUGUCACAAGGAAGACAUGAAGUUGUAUUUGGAUGAGUUUAAGAGGUUAGGCUACAAGCCAUUGCUAUGGAGUGUAGUGCCCAAGACUGAGCUCUUCUUCUCAGCUGUUCUGGGGAAGCCAAUCAGAGGUUAAUAAUCGUCGUUAACAAGUAAAUUUCUCAAUAUCUUAGCGUUUUAAUGAAUUCCGUGAUAUUUUAAUGAGUAAUACUUGUCAUUAACAACAGGGAUUAAGCAUUUCUAUCGUACUUAGUAAGGUUUGCAAUUACAUUGAUAUUUUAAAGAGAAAAAUAUAUAGCAACAUGAAAUUAUUAUAUAACUUGUAUUAAUAACGCAUUUUAGAGUACUUGGAGCUAACGGAAGACUAGACAUAAAAUAGAGCGUAGUGGCGUUCUAAAAUUCAUACAACCGAAUAUAAAAUUUCUGUAUAUAGAUCUCGACCAAUGCUUUUUGCUUGAGAAGUUGAACGGCAGGCAUUUAAAAUUUCUGUAUAUAGAUUUCGAGAUAGGUCACCAAAAGUAUAUCCACUCCAAUUUCGUUUAUCAUACUGAUCGAAUAUCCUGCCAGACUAGCUACAUUUUAUGCUGAUAGAAUAGCCACAAUUUCGAGUCUCCUGAAGAAAGUUGAUGUUACACUAUAGAACCAAUUGGUAAUAUGAAGAAUACCGCAAUUUAUUUGUAAGUCCAUGCAUGGUGGACGUACGAUAGGGGUGACGAUGGUGUGCAAACACAAACAAGUAAUCGUGAAAAAGAAGAGUCAGCCAGAGUUUGUUCAAAGUCUUUGCGUAGAAAAGACUAGCGCUGAAGCAUCACUUCAGCAAUUUCCAUUCUUUUUCCUCUAUCACACAUUGGAUGAAUGUAUCUUUCUGUCGUUGGAAGUGUAUACUUUUACUUAAAGACUUGUGUUCUUGACGAUGAUAUAACAGACCCGACUUAAAAAUAUAAUAAGUUUUUACUAAAAUCGCGUUUCUUGGAAAGAGACUCGGGAGAGUGCUCCAUUUGGAGAAAUGGACACUUAGCAGGUGCUUUUUUAGAAAACGCUUAUAUGGCCUAAAAGCACUUUUAAGUCAGAGAUAAACCACUCCCCCCGCCUCCUGAUCCGACUAUUGUUUAAUCCGUACAUUUCAUCGAACCAUGAAAAUGUUCUAAUCUGGAAAUGGAAGCAAGUAAUCAACACCAAAUAUAAUUAAAAGUACAAUGCCAUACCUUCUUGCGCUAGCGGAGAUUUCCUCCGCUGUCACUCUUUCCCGCAGCCGCCUCUGAUCCAGACGGCAAUUCGAUUGCAAUUUUAUAUUUAUUUCUAAGGGCUCGGCACUUUUGGUAUAACCCGCCACUUUUAAGUCUGGCGUGAUAUAGAAGUUUUUUUCUUAGAAUUAAAAAAAAAAUGAUCAUUAUUAAGGGAAGAUGAAGGAUUCGAAACUAUUACAACAAUUAAGGGGAGGGAGAGUUCCAAAUUCGGGACGCAUGAGUAGAGACGCAACGCUCUAUCCAGUAAGAUAUUGAACCACAUGCAAUACAGAGGCUUGAACAGUCGCACAACCAUAAGUACAGUUUGUUAAUAGAAAGUGUUACUAGCUGUCCUAGAAGCAGAACAACGCAAUGCGAGGUACUUCAAGUAAUUCAUCAUUCAUUUGGGUACAAACACAAUUGAUAAGAAAUAGUUAUUGGCUUGCUUGUGACAACCCGUCCCGGGAUUUACGGAACGAAAAUGGCAUUUUAGUAAUUUCACAAAUUUCGGGAUGUUUGUUUUGAAAUGGGUUUACUUUUAAACCUUAAUUGGUGUGCCAAGGGGCCCACCUUCUGUUUUGUCUCCCCUGGGUCCCCUCUUCAUUUUCUGCCACGUGGCAACUCCCACACCCCCAUCACCUCACUCUCCCACCUGAGGCACUCUCUCAGCUCUCUCACUCUCUAAUCCCUUUCACUCUCACAGACCCCUCUCUCACUCUUCUCCCCUUCCCCGUCGACCCACACACUCACACGGAGGCAUCACCACCCUCACCCUCGUGAGAACUUCCCAUCCCUCUCCACUGUCUUCGUGAACCUCAGGGGCACCCAGAGGACACCCAACCCAGGUCCAGCAAACCAUGGGUGUGCUGCUCAAAUCCGGCCACCUCCAACCUUUUCUCGACGAAACAAAGGUAACAAACCCUUCCUCCUCGUUUCACUCUUCGUUUUGGUGCCUAGAUCGGACCCUAUAGUGGUAUUUUGCUAUCGGCCAGAGCUGGGGAAGCUCCUGCGUCCUUUUCCCGUCGAAACCAGUUCGUUAGGCCAGCUCGUCCAAACCCUGUCGAACCAAUGCCUUUUGGGCCGUGUAUAGGACUCGGGGCUUAGGCCCAUUAGCCGUUAUACCCAAAAGCCCAAACGGUUUAGUUUUUAAUUUUAAUUAUUUAUUUUUCUUUCAAAAACCCAAAAGAACUGGGCCGAGCCUUUAAGCCCAAGCCCGUAUAAACCCUUGGCCAGAGGCCAAAGGGCUUCAGCCCGUUGAGCUUUAAAAACCCCAAACCCUUUUAAAGCAAGCCUUCAGGCCAUGAGAGAACUCGAGUUCGGCCCAUUGACCCAAAACCCAAAACCCUUUUGGGCCUUUGCAGUCAAGCUCAAAACCCUUAGGCCCGUGGACCCAAGCCCAAGCCUUAGGUCCAAACCGAACCAAGCCCAGACCCAGUUUGACCGACCCAGACCUGUUGACUUUGACCUAGUCUGACUGUUGAUCGGCGUUGACUUUGACUUUGACCGAUCAAAGGUUGACGUUGACUUUUUGUUGACUUUUUCGGGCUUCGGUCGAGACCUCUCCUAGGCUAAUUUCGACAUUCUAAAUCUGUUUUUGGUGUCCGUUUUCCCAAAUUCAAUUGUUUGAAUAGAGUUUUAUUAAUUUGACCUUUUAUUUGCUUUGGUGCAUUUAUUGUGGUGUUUCCAUCUUCGCUAAUUUGCAUGGCUCUUCGACGGCGAAGUAUCUGUGAGUGGACCCCUUCUAAAAUGCAUGUUUUAAUAGUAGAAAUGCAUACAUGAAAAGCAUGAUUUAAUGAUAACGUUUUAUGAAACAUUUUAUGAAAUAUUAUGCUUAUUGAGAAUCUUUUGAAUUACCAUAUUUUAUCGAACUCAUGUUCUUUGUAGUAUAAAUGAUGGAUGACUUUAUACUACUUAUGAACAUGUUUUUGCACACUUCUUUAUAGUAUAGAUGAUUGAUGACUUUAUACUAUGAAGAUGUUUUUGAGAUAUAUAUACCUAUAUUUGGAAAGACUAUGUUCAAUGGUUUUGUGCUUAUCUAGCAGUCACUAUACUGUCACGAGCGAGGAUUAUGGUUGUUAGUUGCGAGCCGGGAGAAAUAAUCUCUGGCUACGGGCGCAAAGGCAUGGAGCUGGCAUUAGGGCGGGAGAUAUUGUUAUUGGAUACCACUAUUUAGCACCCUAUAUACGAGAAAUGUUUCAUGAGAAGUUUUAUGGCAUGCUAGGGUUUCAGAAAACCUACUAUUUAUUAUGCUAUUAGUUUUCAUAAAACUUUGGGGGUUAAUAUGUUAAAUAACUGUUUUAAUAUAUAUAUAUAUAUCAACUCGGUCCACUCAUGUUUGUUUUGUGCACCUUCAGGACUUAGAAUUGAGGCAUACAAUCUCGGCCUCAAGGCACUUCCACAUCGGCAUCGUCGAGUCCUCUCGGUGUAUGACCCAUUCAUUUGCUCAUUCAAUUUUGUAUUAUUUCUUUUUAGCGUUUUAAAUUAGUUGUAUGCUCUGAACACGUUCCUCAUUUGCAUAUUAAUUACAAUUAAAUUUAUAAGUCUUAUUUUUUUCUUGUUCUCAUGCAUUCUAAUAUGGCUUCGUCACCUUCAGGUGUCGGCCAGCACGUGCUUACCCUAGUGUUUGGGAGAGUAUUAGGGUUAGGCGUGUCAUUGCUAACACAUCAUAUAAUUUUAGCCAGAUUACUCUAAUGUUGUUAUAUCAUCUCCCAAUCGGAUCGUUGAUUUCUGAGAAGAUCGUCCCGGAUAUGCACUGAAUGGAUUCAUUCGUAGCGCAACCUGGCACACUAGCGAAGGCAUCCUCGUUGUUCCUUUCACCAUACUUCUGAUGUAGUUGCAAUGCAAACUCAAGCCCCUUCACAACAUCGUUCAUUGUCGGUCGUUCGAUCCCACUAUCAUUGAUGCAACUCAUAGCAAUUUCCACAAACUUGUUCAAACACUCGGUUUCAAUCUUACCCUUCAUGUUUGGAUCAAUGAUUUGAUCAAGUUCCCCGUCGCGAUGGCAACUCUUGGCCCAUUUAGCCAAGUUCAUUUGCCUUGUCUCCACUGCAUGCACCACAGCUGGUCUCGAGCACAGUACUUCACACAACACUACACCGAAUGAGUACACAUCAGAUUUCACAGUCAGUUGUUGACGUCGAUAGUAUUCCGGGUCUAGAUAACCGAAACUGCCUUUCACGGCCGUGCUAAUAUGGGUCUUAGACAUGGUGAUUGUGCCCAUUUUUGACAAUCCAAAAUCUGAAACCUUGGCCAUCCAAUUCUCAUCCAAUAAAAUGUUUGUGCUCUUCACGUCACGGUGGAUGAUAGUGCCCUUGGCUUCGUUGUGAAGGUAGCGCAACCCUCGCGCGGCGCCAAUGCAAAUUUGGAGCCGUUGUCCCCAAGAGAGAGGUGGGUUGUCGGUGUGGUAGAGAUGGUCGGCGAGUGUCCCAUGUGACAUGUAAUCGUACACCAAAAUCAUCUCAUUUCUAUCAGUACAAUACCCAAUGAGAGACACCAAAUAGCGGUGUCUAAGUUGUGCGAGCAGUUUGAUUUCCGUCUUGAACUCGCAGGCUCCCUGCUUUGACUCGGGUUUCAGCCGUUUGAUGGCAACGAGAGUGGCCCCGCCAUCGAUAUGCCCUUUGUACACGUGACCAAAGCCGCCAACACCAACAAUGAAACCUUGGCUAAAGUUUUGGGUGGCGGCUUUGAUCUCCGCCAGUGAAAAGUAGCGACACAAAUCGGACGGUAAAGAAGAGCCGCGAGUCUUGGUUGACUUGGUCGUCGAAAAAGAAAAUGGACCCCAUUUUGUUCUUUGCUCGGAGCUUGAGUCCUUGACUUUUCUUCCUCUCCAGAAAACCAAAAAUCCGAACACAAAGGCUAAAACAAACACACCUGAAACUACACCGGCGAUGAUGGCAAACAGAGGAAUAGAUUUCUUGUCUGAAACUUUGGGGCUCUCCGGCUGAGCUAUAUUUGGCGGGGGAGGCGGGUCGGGGUUUGGUCCGGCGAGAUUCCUAUUUGAAUCACUGAGCUUGAAGAUCUCGAGUCCAUUCAAGAUUGCAUCGUUGUAAUUCGUCGACGGAUUUUUUGGGGUGGUUUGCAGUGCAAGAAAGAGAUGAACUUUCUUUUUACUUCCGGCGCCUGCAGGCACGAAAACGACGUAGUCUUUGUACACCGGCUUCCCAUAACCUUGGCUCCACCAGAUUACAUCCGCCAUCUUCUCCGCCGUCUGAUUGGCGAUGAAGAUUUGAAACAGCCGGUCCCUGGGCAAUGUAACAGCACCUUCGAACUCACAAAAAUGAAGUCGAAUAAAGUAAUAAAACGUAGAAUCUACCGGAAACCCCCAGGUGAGAUUAUAGCUCUUGUUUAUGGUUUUGUUCCUCCCCAUCGACCGAGCGGUUCGGUAAACUUCUUCCGGAGCAGAGUACUUCGGAAUUUUCGAAAAGUCGAGCUGAAUACUACUGUUUUGCGGUAGACGACUAAAAUUUUUACUCAAAUCGUCCAAAUAGUUGUACUCCUCUUGAAUACCAUCCCAGUUUCUGUACAUUCCAGUGUCCUGAUUGAACGAAAGCUGAGAUCCGCCGACGUUGAUCCGGUAGACCAUCUCCAUGGCGGUGUUAUUUUCGAUCCAAUACGGGUUUAUGCUGCCUA